AACAGUAAACUAUAAUUGUCAAAAAAUUAAAAACAAAGUCAUUUUAAAUUGAGUAACAAGACCUCCCACUAAUACACUCCAUUAAUUGUUAAGACAUUAUUAGCUUUUUAAGUCCACUGAAACACGCAACUUACAACAACGUCAAUAACAAUGAACUAGUAAUUAAUAAUUUAUAACAAGGUGAUUUGAACUUGAGAGAAAUAAGACCACCCAAGUAAACAAAAAAUUCUACCUAAAACUUGAGCUUAACCAUUUUUGCUUCAAACAUAAAGCACAAGACAAUUAGUUUUAGUAAUAAAUGUUAUAUACCGGCUGGACGCAGAGGAAAGUGAGUAACAUAAUGCCCUUAACUGCAAGAAAACAAUAACAAUACAACACAAAUAGGUAAAUUUGUUCAUCCAUUUGAACCUUCAAGUACAUGGAUCUACCUACAAUGUGAUUGUAUUAUCAUUAAAAAAAAAAGCUGUUAAAAUUGAAAUAAACACAAGAACAAAUUCGGUACAUGUAUGCAUGUAUGCAUGUAUGCAACUGCAUGUGUCUAUGUACACAUGCAUGAUGAAGCAACUAAACUCUGUUCCUUUUUCUACUCAGUUAUUCAACUUCUAAAUGGCAUAAGAGAACCAGCAAAGCUUAUUCCCAUCAAACGAAAGCAAAAGAGAUCGAUACCCUAUAAUUUUUCAAGUCAUUUUUGUGUUUGGUCAUUUUUCCCCUAACUGAUAUGCAGAGCCGAUCGCUUUUUAAUUAUUGCUACCCUGCAAGCACGAUAAGGACUUUGCAAACUUCAUUGGCCAAUACUAGCCUCUUGAACAUCAUCAAGAAGCAAUAAAAAUUGAAAGGAAAGGGUAGAUAAAAUUAAGUACACAAGUAACAGUGAAUAAAAGACUCUUUAACUCAAAUAGCAGAUAAAAACAAAAGCUAUUUUGCAUAACUUGUGAUUAGAGUACCAAUAUUCCCUUAGUGUAAUGAUUUAAGACUUAUUGUUAAAGAGUUAUAGAUUUUCAAUGAGAUUAAUCACCACUGCUUUUAUAUAAUAAGUGGAAUAUUAUUGUAAAGAAUAGGCACUAAACAACUUUCCCUGGAAGAAGAGAAGAAUUAAAGACACUAAAUUGUAGACUAUGAUAGUAAAGAUACUCUUUGUGACACCAAUGAUGAAAACUGGAGAAAAUUAUCCCAAAAAUGCAAAAAUGAAAGCUAAAAAUAACCAAAUAUCUUAAGAAGUUUUUGGAGAGCUAUAUAGUUCGGUUAUUAUUUUCUUUCUACAUAGGUCCUCUCCUUCCUCCUUGAUCAAUGGCAUGUCAGCAGUUAGAAAAUUCUAAAAAUUAGAUAAACCCAGCUAUGCUCAGCAAACAGAGAGUAUGGGAUGAGAGUUUAAACAUUCUUUUAAUGAAAAUACACUAUAGCAUCCCAUUCAAAGAAAUCCCACACCAAAUACAACAUCUGGCAACAAAUUCAUAAGCUUCAAGAUAAAGAAGAAAAGACAGUUCACCAGAGUGAAUAUAAGUGAUCACACGUAGUAUGUAUGAUUGAAUUAGAUGCAGAGACUAAGCACAAUCGUGCUCGAAAGGAGAAAACCUAAGAAAGUUUUCCAUCAAAACAAAUUAAAAUUCAAACUUCUAGGGCAUUACUCGUAAGCAGGGAUUUAAAUUGCGGUCGCGUUGUGUUUAUCGCGGUCACUGCGGGUAUAAUAUUUGAUUUUUAGUAAUAUCAGACAAUGGUCUUUUAUAGAUUAUAUGCCUCUUAAGUCCACUUAAACUUGUAUCCUCAAAGAACUGAGAUAAUACUCAAUCUGCAGGGUUAAUAUCCAUAAUAUUCAAUCAACAGUAAACUAUAAUUGUCAAAAAAUUAAAAACAAAGUCAUUUUAAAUUGAGUAACAAGACCUCCCACUAAUACACUCCAUUAAUUGUUAAGACAUUAUUAGCUUUUUAAGUCCACUGAAACACGCAACUUACAACAACGUCAAUAACAAUGAACUAGUAAUUAAUAAGUUAUAACAAGGUGAUUUGAACUUGAGAGAAAUAAGACCACCCAAGUAAACAAAAAAUUCUACCUAAAACUUGAGCUUAACCAUUUUUGCUUCAAACAUAAAGCACGAGACAAUUAGUUUUAGUAAUAAAUGUUAUAUACCGGUUUGACGCAGAGGAAAGUAAGUAACAUAAUGCCCUUAGCUGCAAGAAAACAAUAACAAUACAACACAAAUAGGUAAAUUUGUUCAUCCAUUUGAACCUUCAAGUACAUGGAUCUACCUACAAUGUGAUUGUAUUAUCAUUAAAAAAAAAAAGCUGUUAAAAUUGAAAUAAACACAAGACAAAUUCGGUACAUGUAUGAAUGCAUAUGCAAGUGCAUGUGUCUGUGUACACAUGCAUGAUGAAGCAACUAAACUCUGUUCCUUUUUCUACUCAGUUAUUCAACUUCUAAAUGGCAUAAGAACCAGCAAAGCUUAUUACCAUCAAACGAAAGCAAAAGAGAUCGAUACCCUAUAAUUUUUCAAGUCAUUCUUUGUGUUUGGUCAUUUUUCCCCCAACUGAUAUGCAAAGCCGAUCGCUUUACAAACUUCAUUGGCCAAUACUAGCCUCUUGAACAUCAUCAACAAGCAAUAAAAAUUGAAAGGAAAAGGUAGAUAAAAUUACGUACACAAGUAACAGAGAAUAAAAGACUUUUUAACUCAAAUAGCAGAUAAAAACAAAAGCUAUUUUGCAUAACUUGUGAUUAGAGUACCAAUAUUCCCUUAGUGUAAUGAUUUAAGACUUAUUGUUAAAGAGUAAUAGAUUUUCAAUGAGAUUAAUCACCACUGCUUUUAUAUAAUAAGUGGGAUAUUACUGUAAAGAAUAGGCACUAAACAACUUUCCCCGGAAGAAGAGAAGAAUUAAAGACACUCAAUUGUGGACCAUGAUAGUAAAGAUACUUUUAGUGACACCAAUGAUGAAAACUGGAGAAAAUUAUCUCAAAAAUGCAAAAAUGAAAGCUAAAAAUAACCAAAUAUCUUAAAAAGUUUUUGAGAGCUAUAUUGUUCGGUGAUUAUUUUCUUUCUACAUAGGUCCUCUCCUUCCUCCUUGAUCAAUGGCAUGUCAGCAGUUAGAAAAUUCUAAAAAUUAAAUAAACCCAGCUAUGCUCAGCAAACAGAGAGUAUGGGACGAGAGUUUAAACAUUCUUUUAAUGAAAAUACACUAUAGCAUCCCAUUCAAAGAAAUCCCACACCAAAUACAACAUCCGGCAACAAAUUCAUAAACUCCAAGAUAAAGAAGAAAAGACGGUUCACCAGAGUGAAUAUAAUUGAUCACACAUAGUAUGUACCAUUGAAUUAGAUGCAGAGACUAAGCACAAUCGUGCUCGAGAGGUGAAAACCUAAGAAAGUUUUCCAUCAAAACAAAUUAAAACUCAAACUUCUAGGGCAUUACUCGUAAGUUUACUAGAAAAUACCAAAAUCCGAAGUUAAGGUACUUGUGAUGAAGAAGAUGACAACAGGGUUGAUGGUGGAGGUUCUCUCUGAAGUUCCUUGACAACAGCAGCCAAAGCCUCAGGGUUUAAACCCAAAUCACAGAGAGCAAUGAAUCGAGACCUGUAUCAAGAAUAUUUGACAUGUGAAAUGCCAGAUCUAGGGAUUCUCGGGCAGUUCGUGCAGC
rnacentral:lncRNA from 1 species